AAGAUGAAAGAAAGCUUGCCCACCAAGAAGUUUACAAAACCAAGGGCACAAAAUAUCCUUUAGGCACUCGUAUAAAAGUCACAUAAAGUUGUGGUAGGCGUUUUAUUUUGGUGUCGUUGGGCAAAAAUGUCAUAAUAAUCUUUCAGCAUAUUGUAAUUGAAGUGUUCUGAGAGAAAACUAGACUUCUACAUCUCCUCUUGGCUCUGUUUUAGGCUUUAGAAAAUCUAUCCUGUGAUGCCAAUCACAUUUCAGAGAGAGAGAGAGAGAAAGAGAGAGCAUUCCUAUUGUCUGUUCUCUGUGAGUAAGAUUUUGCUUGUUUUAGUGAUGUGAAUGCUGCUGUGUUCUUGCUAACUUCAGUUGGAUACUGAAGAAAUCCACCCACCUUUAAAUUGUGACCUUACUGUAUAAUAUACACAGUCUUAUAAAUGCUAUUUUCUGACCUAUUGUUAGAAAUUGUUUUAAUUUUUUAUCUUGUAAUGUGUCAUGGUUGAAAUAAGAAAAUGAUAAUUACAUUCUUGUUUUUCACGUUUUUGUAAAACGUUUUUUUUAAACAGAAAAUACAAAGUCCAAAGUAAUGCAUUUUCAUAUGCAAAUCUAAUAAUGUUAGUGAGUUCCACAUUACUGCACAACACUAGUAUCACUCUUCUAUCAGUGAUAACAAGAGGACCCAAGAUAUUUAUGAAGAGGCUCAUGUUGCUACUGACAAGAGAACAGUUUUGUGUUUAUACGGCCUCAACUGUCAUUAAAUGUUAGAAACUCUUCUCGCCUGAUGGAUGUUUUUAUCCUGUUGACUUUUUCAGUCAAGUUGUUGUCACCAGGAGUUAAAUCCUGGGUAACGCCUUGCAGUGUCUUUAGGGGAGAGCCAAUGAAUGGAUUCAGGUUUUACAGCAUUUUUUUGUGUUAAGCAGUUGAUGACAAAAUUCCAAAAGACUUUUAGUCGUUUUACAGCUUCAGAGUCACCAGGGUGUCCAACUCCAUCAGGUUCAUUGUUCACUGUGUGUGGCUGAAGUAGUCCAACAUCCGAUGGCAGCACAACCCUUAAAAGACUGGAGCAGUGAUCUCUUUGACUGCUUUGAAAACUCAAGUAGUUGUUGCUAUGGUUUCUGGUGCUGCCCUUGCCUUGCCUGCACAGUUUCAGAAAGAUUUGGAGAGAACCGUUGUCUCCCAUUAUGUGACAUAUGCAGCCCUGCCAUAUUAUCAGCCUUGGGGAUAACUCUGUGUGCGGCCCCUCCUGCAGGCCUGUCCUUAAGGGCUGCCAUGCGAAAUAGAUAUGGUAUCAAGGGUUCUCUCUGUAAGGACAUCUUAGUUUCCUGUUUCUGCGGGUGGUGCAACUGGUGUCAGAUGCAUCGUGAGUUAAGACAUCG